rnacentral:misc_RNA from 1 species
GGCUUAUCACCGGCAGUCCCCUUAGAGUGCCCACCCAAAGUGCUGGCAACUAAGAUCAAGGGUUGCGCUCGUUGCGGGACUUAACCCAACAUCUCACGACACGAGCUGACGACAACCAUGCACCACCUGUCUUGGGUGCUCCGAAGAGGGGCACUAUCUCUAGUGCUUACACCCAGAUGUCAAGACCUGGUAAGGUUCUUCGCGUUGCUUCGAAUUAAACCACAUGCUCCACCGCUUGUGCGGGCCCCCGUCAAUUCCUUUGAGUUUCAGCCUUGCGGCCGUACUCCCCAGGCGGGGCACUUAAUGCGUUAGCGCCGGCCCUCGGGGGGUCGCUCCCCCAAGCGCCUAGUGCCCAUCGUUUACGGCAUGGACUAC